GGAGGCCAACUGCUCCUCCAGUCCGUGCAACUUCUCCUUCAGAGCCUCAACGCCCUCUGCAUCUCCCUGAGGCUUCUCAUUACUGCAAAACAAGAGGAUCAUUAAUAGCUCAAAUCAGCUGCAUCAGAAAAAUGCCACACUGGAGGCCUCGUCCAAAGCCUGGGCCUGAGACAGACGCUCCUGCAGGGCUUCGAGCUCCUUCUGCAGGGUCUCGUACUGAGCCAAGGGGACAAAGUCUGUGCUGGACAUCUGCAUGUCGGUGUCGUCCUUCUCGUACAUCUCCAGCAUCUGCAAAAAAAGACGUGUCAGCUCUGCGACGGUUCCUGGGUCUGCAGGAGACGGGCCGGCCGAGGCCGCGGGGGCUGGAGAGCUGAGCUCAUCCUGAGCAGAUAUGGCUCUGGAGCGUUUGGAGAGCAGCUUCUCUAGAGAUGAGAGCGUUCUGAUAUA